AAUUUUGCACAAUGGGGGAAACCCUGAUCCAGCCAUCCCGCGUGUAUGAUGAAGGCCUUCGGGUUGUAAAGUACUUUUGGCAGAGAAGAAAAGGUAUCUCCUAAUACGGGAUACUGCUGACGGUAUCUGCAGAAUAAGCGCCGGCUAACUACGUUCCAACAGCCUCGGUAAUACGAAGGGUGCAAGCGUUAAUCGGAAUUACUGGGUGUAAAGGGUGUGUAGGCGGUGCGUAAAGAGAAAGGUGAAGUCCCAGGGCUCAAUCUUGGAACUGCAUUGUUAACUGCCGAGCUAGAGGAAGUCAGAGGGGGGUAGAAUUCCACGGGUGGCAGGGAAAGGCGUAGAUAUGUGGAGGAAUACCGAUGGCGAAGGCAGCCCCCUGGGAUAAUACUGACGCUCAGAGACGAAGGCGUGGGGAGCAAACAGG
rnacentral:rRNA from 1 species